GGAUUAGAUACCCUGGUAGUCCACGCCGUAAACGAUGGAUACUAGCUGUUGGGCGUAAGCUCAGUGGCCAAGCGAAAGUGAUAAGUAUCCCACCUGGGGAGUACGACCGCAAGGUUGAAACUCAAAGGAAUUGACGGGGGCCCGCACAAGCGGUGGAGCAUGUGGUUUAAUUCGAUGAUACGCGAGGAACCUUACCAGGGCUUAAAUGUAGAGUGACAGGCUGAGAGAUCGGCUUUUCUUCGGACACUUUACAAGGUGCUGCAUGGUUGUCGUCAGCUCGUGCUG
rnacentral:rRNA from 1 species